rnacentral:rRNA from 1 species
UACGUAGGGUGCAAGCGUUAAUCGGAAUUACUGGGCGUAAAGCGUGCGCAGGCGGUUUUGUAAGUCAGAUGUGAAAUCCCCGGGCUUAACCUGGGAACUGCGUUUGAAACUACAAGGCUAGAGUGUGGGAGAGGCGCGUGGAAUUGCAGGUGUAGCGGUGAAAUGCGUAGAUAUCUGCAGGAACACCCGUGGCGAAAGCGGCGCGCUGGACCACUACUGACGCUGAGGAACGAAAGCUAGGGGAGCAAACAGG